rnacentral:rRNA from 1 species
UACGUAUGGAGCAAGCGUUAUCCGGAUUUACUGGGUGUAAAGGGAGCGUAGGCGGCAGAUUAAGUCUGAUGUGAAAGCCCGUGGCUCAACUGCGGGACUGCAUUGGAAACUGGUCAGCUAGAGUGUCGGAGAGGCAAGUGGAAUUCCUAGUGUAGCGGUGAAAUGCAUAGAUAUUAGGAGGAACACCAGUGGCGAAGGCGGCUUGCUGGACGAUCACUGACGCUGAGACUCGAAAGCGUGGGGAGCAAAC